UACGCGUUAACGCGGCUCGAGCUCCGCGAAGUCGGCCGUUCGCCAAUUUCGUCGAGGUUCGACUGUUUCGAAGACAAAUUACGCGAAUCACGCGACACGGGUCAGGAAAAAAGAUAUUUUGGCUACCGAAAGCGUCCAAGAGUAGCGAACGCGGUUUUCGGCGUCGCAGCCUCGAAUACCGCGCCGGGACUCGAAGCGAACGCGAUCGCGCUCUCGCCGCCUUUUACCGCUGGAAGGACCGUCCGACUCCGACCUAACCCAAGCGGCGAAAGGCUGAGAUGUCGAACCGCGGAAGACGGACGGCUCGCUGCUGCGGACACGACCUCGAACGACCCGGCGACCGCUCCGAAAUCGAUGGCUGCCCGCCGAGAUCCGCCCGGAAAAUUUGUAUCGUGCCCCCUGUACCUCAGGGACCUCUCUGGAAACCUUGCUGCGUUCGAAAAUACGAUUAUCCCUGUUCGGCUCACGCGAAACCUCGACCGCUCGUACGUUUCACCGAUUUCGAUUUGUUCUCGCAAUAUUGAAGAUGCCGAUGAAUUUGUCGUCGGUAACCCGUCGAAAUAACCGGCUGUUCUAACGAAAUAUACGAUCGUUUCCCUCGCGUC